rnacentral:rRNA from 1 species
UACGGAGGGAGCUAGCGUUGUUCGGAAUUACUGGGCGUAAAGCGCACGUAGGCGGCUACUCAAGUCAGAGGUGAAAGCCCAGGGCUCAACCCUGGAACUGCCUUUGAAACUAGGUAGCUAGAAUCUUGGAGAGGUCAGUGGAAUUCCGAGUGUAGAGGUGAAAUUCGUAGAUAUUCGGAAGAACACCAGUGGCGAAGGCGACUGACUGGACAAGCAUUGACGCUGAGGUGCGAAAGCGUGGGGAGCAAACAGG